rnacentral:rRNA from 1 species
UACGGAGGGUGCGAGCGUUGUCCGGAAUCACUGGGCGAAAGGGCGCGUAGGCGGCGCGGGAAGUCAUCGGUGAAAGUUCAGGGCUCAACUCUGAAUCGGCCGGUGAUACUCUCGUGCUCGAGCACUGUAGAGGCAGGUGGAAUUCCGGGUGUAGCGGUGGAAUGCGUAGAGAUCCGGAAGAACACCGGUGGCGAAGGCGGCCUGCUGGGCAGUAGCUGACGCUGAUGCGCGACAGCGUGGGGAGCAAACAGG